rnacentral:rRNA from 1 species
CAGUAGCCGCGGGAAUACGUAGGUGGCAAGCGUUGUCCGGAAUUAUUGGGCGUAAAGGGCUCGCAGGCGGUUUCUUAAGUCUGAUGUGAAAGCCCCCGGCUCAACCGGGGAGGGUCAUUGGAAACUGGGAAACUUGAGUGCAGAAGAGGAGAGUGGAAUUCCACGUGUAGCGGUGAAAUGCGUAGAGAUGUGGAGGAACACCAGUGGCGAAGGCGACUCCCUGGUCUGUAACUGACGCUGAGGAGCGAAAGCGUGGGGAGCGAACAGGAUUAGAUACCCGCGUAGUCCCUGUCUCUUAUAA